UUAUGUGCAUGCCUACAGUGUCAAUGCAUUGUAUCCCAUCAAAACUACACAUUUAAGUGUGCUUGGGCUAGAGUAGUACUGAGAUGGGUGACCUCCCAGGAAGUUUUAUGUUUUACAUGCC
rfam:Picea glauca, whole genome shotgun sequence.